AGGGCUCCUACAUGCUUAAAACCGGGGGUGAAUAGUCGGGCGCCUCCACGAGGGAAAACCCGAGGGAGUAUAAUAUCCCGGGCUAAUGACGGUCCCUGAAAAAUAAGCACCGGCUAACUACGUGCCAACAACCGCGGUAAUACGUAGGGUGCAAACGUUAAUCGGAAUUACUGGGCGUAAAGCGUGCGCAGGCGGUUUUGUAAAUCUGACGUGAAAUCCCCGGGCUCAACCUGGGAAUUGCGUUGGAAACUGCAAGGCUUGAAUCUGGCAAAGGGGGGUAGAAUUCCACGUGUAGCAGUGAAAUGCGUAAAGAUGUGGAGGAACACCGAUGGCGAAGGCACCCCCCUGGGUCAAAAUUGACGCUCAUGCACAAAAGCGUGGGGAGCAAACAGGAUUAGAUACCCUGGUAUACCACGCCCUAAACAAUGUCUACUAGUUGUCGGGUCUUAAUUGACUUGGUAACGCAGCUAACACCUGAAUUAACCGCCUGGGGAGUACCGUCGCCAGAUUAAAACUCAAA
rnacentral:rRNA from 1 species